rnacentral:rRNA from 1 species
AAUAUUGCGCAAUGGAGGGAACUCUGACGCAGCGACGCCGCGUGAGCGAUGAAGGUUUUCGGAUCGUAAAGCUCUGUCCUUGGGGAAGAAGGUCUUCGGACUUGACGGUACCUAAGGAGGAAGCCCCGGCUAACUACGUUCCCGCAGCCGAGGUAAUACGUAGGGGGCGAGCGUUGUCCGGAAUUACUGGGCGUAAAGGGUACGUAGGCGGCUAUAUAAGUCAGGUGUGAAAUACCAGUGCUUAACACUGGAAUUGCAUUUGAAACUGUGUAGCUUGAGUGCAGGAGAGGAAAGUGGAAUUCCCAGUGUAGCGGUGAAAUGCGUAGAUAUUGGGAGGAACACCAGUGGCGAAGGCGGCUUUCUGGACUGCACCUGACGCUGAGGCGCGAAAGCCAGGGUAGCGAACG